rnacentral:rRNA from 1 species
AGCAGCCGCGGUAAUUCCAGCUCCAAUAGCGUAUAUUAAAGUUGUUGCAGUUAAAAAGCUCGUAGUUGAAUUUCGGGAUUGACGUGAUGGUCGUGCCUUACGGGGUAUGAACUGUUGCUGUUGAUUUCUCACCUUCUGGAGAAACUUGAUGUCCUUAAUUGGGUGUCUUGCGGAUCCAGGACCUUUACCUUGAAAAAUUAGAGUGUUUAAAGCAGGCAUUUUGCUCGAAUACAUUAGCAUGGAAUAAUAGAAUAGGACGGCAUGGUUCUAUUUUGUUGGUUUCUAGGAUCACCGUAAUGAUUAAUAGGGAUAGUUGGGGGCAUUAGUAUUCAAUUGUCAGAGGUGAAAUUCUUGGAUUUAUUGAAGACUAACUACUGCGAAAGCAUUUGCCAAGGAUGUUUUCAUUAAUCAAGAACGAAAGUUAGGGGAUCGAAGACGAUCAGAUACCGUCGUAGUCUUAACCAUAAACUAUG